GAUUUGGCAAUUGAAUUGCAUGCAUUUUUGCAUGUAAUUAGACUAUAAAUAGAGAUGUUUUCAAAUGUUGAAGGACUUUUGCCUCUUUUAUCAUUUUCAUCAUCUCAACAAAAGAAAAAAGAAAGCUUCCAAUCUCAUUUUAUCUCCAUUACUUUCUACACCAAAAUUGGGUCCCACAACCCGGUUCUUUGUCUAGAGGAUAGCAGUUGAGUACUAGUGGUGGUCUCGGGUAGAAUUGGUAAGAAGACAUCAAACCUUUUGAAAGCUUCAAAGGUAAUACUUCUUAAAACUCUAAUUUGAUUAGUUUAUGGUUACAUGUUAAUUAUGGCAAUUAGGGUAGAAAUUCGAUUCUUUUUCCGCUGUGCAUGACUUAGUUCUAUCAGGGACAUGCCUCACAUUAUUGGUUUUUGUAUUUUAAUAUUAAUUUUGAAGUGUUAUAUUACAAUAUAUAUUCAAUUUAGCUUCAUUUUGCCUAAAUUUUCUUUUGCUGCAGUGGUUGUGCCCCUACACAACUCAUUUCUGUGAGUUCAAAUCUUGUCUGCUACAACUAACUUUAUGAAAUAGUUUUUAUUCCAAAUAUCAAUAAUUUUCUUUACUCAAAUAUCAAAUUUCUUCUUAAAUUAUCAUAAAAUAGAUUUUAUUCCAAACAUCAAUAAUUUUCUUUCCUCAAAUAUCAAUAAUUUUCAAAAUAGAAUUUAUUCAAAACCUCAAUAGUUUUCUUUUCUCAAAUAUCAAUAAUUUUCUUUUCCCAAACAUCAAAUUUUUUCCUAAAUUUCAAGGAUUUCCUAAAAGGAAGAUAAUUUCUAAAAAGAGAAAAAAAAACUCAUAUAAUAUAAAACCUUAACUUAUUUUCUAGCUCUCAUUUGUUAUCUAACAAAAUUUUAAAAAAAAAUGUAACAAAGUAAGUGAUCCAAACUUCGACUCUCUCAAUAAUAUUACAUGAAAAUGAUAUUCUUAUUUCUUUUUCUUUUUUUUAAAGCAAAUUUUAAAUUAACGUAUUUACAUUACAAAAAAUAAUGUGAAAAUUACUGGUUUUUCUUUAUUGCUACAAAUGUAGUGAAUGUUAUUGGAACAUGAAUGAAACGAAGAGAUAUUUUUUUUAAACAUUUUUAGUGUGUUUAUUAUGUAGUGUCCGGUGCCUCCCUAUAUAAAAUUUUGGGUCCGUCACUGACCCAUUGGGUCCAAGCUGUCACACCCCAAACCAUACUAUCAACAAAAAUGUUGAAGUAGUAGGAAUAGGAUGUGAGUUUGUUACAACUUCAAAAUUUUCUUAUUGCAAAAUAUUAUUCUGAACUUCUUUUAUACUCUCAACGAAACUUAAAACGCAACGGUGGUCAACCUAAAUGCCAAGUAUAAUAAAUACCUACCAAAACGUUUAUUUUCAACACUUUGACCAAACAACCAAUGCUUUAUUUAUAAAACGUCUGGAGUUAUCUCGCUGCAAGUCCUUCAAUUUUCUUCUUUACUUGGCCUAAACGCCUGAUCAUAUAAUAAACAUCAUUUUGCAUAAAUAGUAUAAAAUAAUUUCAUCUUGCAUAAAUCUUUCUUUAUGCUUAACAUAUUCAUAACAUAACAAUUUCACAUAAACACACAUUAGUUAACAUUCAUUUCUUUCGCCAAGGAUCCCAAAUCAUUCUCUAUGCUUUGUCUCAUUACCUCGCGUUUGACUACUGUAUCAACAACAUCCAAGACAUACAGAUUCGUCCUUGUUGCUCAAACCGCUAAGCUUUAUAUGCUUCUUUCAACGCAUAAGCCAAGUUCUUAUCACCAUGUGGUAUGUACACCCCAUAGUGGCAUUGACUCUUUAAGUGCACAUAAAAGUUAGCAUCAUAAAAAUCAGCUAAUGGUUUGAAAACCAUUUCAUAGCAUCAAAAUCAUAAUCAUCAAAUCAAGCCUUAAUACUCUCAUUUGAAACACUUUCACAACUUCUUUUUGAAACACUUUCUCAUUUGAAAUUAUCUUUCAAAAUAGUAAAGUGGAACCACAAAACAUUUAAGAAGAAAACCACUCACCACACAUUAACAAAAAUUCUCAUCUUCCUUCUCUUCCCGUGGAGAGCGAAGAGACAUUUUCUUAAUCUUAUACGUUAACCCCUGUCGAAUUGAAUUUGACAUUUUCUUAGCCCGACCUUACUUCUCGUCUAACCCCAUACCACAAAUAACUUUAACCACAACAUUUUUCGUUAAUAACCUUAUCGCAUAGUUAUAUUUUUAUAAGAAAUCUUCCUCGCGAACUAACCAACUUUUACUAGCUUACAACAUGACUUAUCGCGAAUUUAAACAUUAAAGCUUCCUCGCAAACUUCUUCAUCGCAAAACUCUUGGUUCUUAUCGCGAAAACUACCCAAACCCCUAGUUUUAAAACAUACGGACUUUCUUCUGAGGACGUUUAGACUUAUAGAUUCUACUGCAAACCCAUCUUUUCUCAAAAUUACCUAACGAAUUAACUUCUUAAUCACAAAACUUAUAAUUAUAAAUAAAAUGUUUUUUUUCGCUUAAUCAUUUUCGACAUAUAUUCAAAGGUCAAUUUCUAUAGUAGUUUUAGCCGAAAUUUUACUUCCUAUACUAGAAUUAAAAACGGGUCGCAACUUUUCAUUUUAAGGAUGUGAACAUUGAUGUGGAUUUUCCAUCUCCAAAUCAAUCAAUGUGUGGGAUAAAUCAAAAACAAUUUUUAAUAAUUUUCAUCAACACUUUUGUAAUAAAAGGUAAUUGAGAAAUAACACAAAAAAGAAGAGCAGAAAAAAAAGAUGGAAGAAACUCUCCUUGCAUUUGGGAUAAAUCCCCUUUAUACAAAACACAGGGUGGAUGUCACACGUUGAUACUAUAGAUGGGUUUCAUAUUGAUCCUGUGAUGUAACUUGGAAUUCUUACAGAAAAGAUAUGGAAAUUAUUGUGAGUUAAAAACUUGUAUCCCAUCCCCAUCUUGAAGGAUCAAAUUUCUUUUGGUUUGGGUAAACUUCAUAGUUACAAUCAAUAAUGCUUUUGAAACCAACCCAACAUCUACUUUCCAACACUUGGGAAUUAGGUCAUACCCUACAAUCACACAAAAGACAAGAAAUAAACAAGUGGAAAUGGUUAUUCAGGACACUUUUAUAACAUCAUUGUUUCUCGUACCUUCUUUGUUCUUUUUUUAGAAUCAAAGACGGGAAUGUUUGAUAAUUAUUUCUUGUUUCUCAUUUCUGGAAUUAUUUUUUCUAGCAUUUUCACAAAUUUUGUAUAGUUUAAAUAUAAUUUAAUUAUAUAUAAAAAAAGAUAUAUAGAAUUCAUAAAAAUAUAAAAAAAAUUAUGAAAACAUUCACAUUAUCAAAUACACAUAAAUUCGGUUGCAAAAUUAAUAACUAUCAUACAAUAAUUUUUAUUAAUAAUAUCUAUAUUAAAUUUUGAUUUAAAAUAUUUUUUUUAUUUAAUUCAUUUCUCUCGUGAUGUAGAUUCAAAUUCAACUCAAUUAUAUUAUAUUUUUAUGUAAAUAUUGUGGUUGAAAAAUAUUAAAGAUAUCCUAAAUGUAAAAUUUAUAUAUCGUAAAAUUCUAACUAAUUUCGAAUGAACUAAAAGUAAUAAAUUUAAAUUUAAAAUAACAUAUAAGCAUGUAUGUAUUGCGGGAUUUGAAAUUUAAAAUUUAGAAAAUAUUUAAAUAAUAUUGUUUGAACAAGGUUAUCAAAAGAAACGUGUUUCAUGGAGUUGAACUAGUAUUAAUUUUGUGUUUGUGUUGAUUUGAUGUGAUAUGGUUCAAUCUUUAGUACUUGAAUAUUUGAUUCUAUCUUGAUUGAAUGCAUAUGUUGAUGUAUGGAAGCGGAACAACGUUCUUGAAGUCAUAGUCUUGGAAGAAUAAUUGUGUCUCCAUGUAACUUGAGCUUCGAGUGUGGUCCAAUCUCCAGGAGUUAGAUAGUCUUCGGAGAAUUUUCUCUAGGCCCUUUUUCAGCAAAAUUUUAUGAACCCUACAAAUGAAGAGAACUCCUCUAUUUAUAAGGUUGUUUGGUGGGGUUUAUGGGUUUGAGCUUGGUUGGUCCAUGAAUCAGACCCUGAGUUCAACAAUAUGGAUUUGAGUGUUGUUUAGUAUUUGAGUUAAAUUAAACUUAUUUUUUUAGCUCAAUUGAACUUUCGCCGAGAUAACUAUGGAAAUAACAAAUUCUAAUAUAGAAACUAAAAAAUGAAAAAAAAUAAAAAACAAUAAGAUUUGUAGCAAAA
rnacentral:lncRNA from 1 species